GACGAACGCUGGCGGCGUGCUUAACACAUGCAAGUCGAACGGAGUGGCGAACGGGUGAGUAACACGUGGGUGAUCUGCCUUGCACUUCGGGAUAAGCUUGGGAAACUGGGUCUAAUACCGGAUAGUGCAAGAUGAGCUCGCGGCCUAUCAGCUUGUUGGUGGGGUAAUGGCCUACCAAGGCGUCGACGGGUAGCCGGCCUGAGAGCUUGUACGGCCACAUUGGUACUGCGGUACGGCCCAGACGCCGACGGGAGGCAGCAGUGGGGAAUAUUGCACAAUGGGCGGAAGUCUGAUGCAGCGACGCCGCGUUGGGGAUGCAGGCUUUCGGGUUGUAAACUCAUUUCGACAGGGACGCGGUACCUGUAUAGGAAGCACCGGCUAACUACGUGCCAGCAGCCGCGGUAAUUC
rnacentral:rRNA from 1 species